AUUGAACGCUGGCGGCAUGCUUUACACAUGCAAGUCGAACGGCAGCGCGGUCUUCGGCCUGGCUGCGAGUGGCGAACGGGUGAGUAAUACAUCGGAACGUCCCCAUUAGUUUUGUCUAGCUCGACGACGUCCGGAUUCAUACCGCAUAAGACCUGAGGAUGAACGCGUGGGAUCUUCGGACCUCCCGCUCUUGCACCGUCCGAUGGCAGGUUGUCUAGUUGGUGGGGUAAAGGCCUACCAAGCCGCCAAUCUGUAGCUGGGUCGCGAGGACGACCAGCCACACUGGGACUGAGAAACGGCCCAGACCCCUAAGGGAGGCAGCAGGGGGGAAAUGUGGAAAAGGGGCGAAAGCCUGAUCCAGCAAUGCCGCGGGUGGGAUGAAGGCCUUCGGGUUGUAAAGCACUUUUGGCGGGAAAGAAAAGGACUGUGCCAAUACCACGGUUCGAUGACGGUACCCGAAGAAUAAGCACCGGCUAACUACGGGC
rnacentral:rRNA from 1 species